UACGGGGGGGGUAAGCGUUGUUCGGAAUUACUGGGCGUAAAGGGCUCGUAGGCGGCCAACUAAGUCAGACGUGAAAUCCCUCAGCUUAACUGGGGAACUGCGUCUGAUACUGGAUGGCUUGGAUUCGGGAGAGGAAUGCGGAAUUCCAGGUGUAGCGGUGAAAUGCGUAGAUAUCUGGAGGAACACCGGUGGCGAAGGCGGCAUCCUGGACCGAUACUGACGCUGAGGAGCGAAAGCCAGGGGAGCAAACGGG
rnacentral:rRNA from 1 species